GGGGAAUAUUGCACAAUGGAGGGAACUCUGAUGCAGCGACGCCGCGUGAGUGAAGAAGGUCUCCGGAUCGUAAAACUCUGUCCUUGGUGAAGAUAAUGACGGUAGCCAAGGAGGAAGCCCCGGCUAACUACGUGCCAGCAGCCGCGGUAAUACGUAGGGGGCGAGCGUUGUCCGGAUUUACUGGGCGUAAAGGGUGAGUAGGCGGUUGUAUAUGUCAGGUGUAAAAGGCGUAGGCUCAACCUACGUAUGCACUUGAAACUGUAUAACUUGAGUGCAGGAGAGGUAAGCGGAAUUCCUAGUGUAGCGGUGAAAUGCGUAGAUAUUAGGAGGAACACCGGUGGCGAAGGCGGCUUACUGGACUGUAACUGACGCUGAGUCACGAAAGCGUGGGUAGCAAAC
rnacentral:rRNA from 1 species